rnacentral:rRNA from 1 species
AGAGUUUGAUCCUGGCUCAGAACGAACGCUGGCGGCAGGCCUAACACAUGCAAGUCGAACGAUAAGCCACCUUCGGGUGGUGGACAGUGGCAGACGGGUGAGUAACGCGUGGGAACGUGCCUUUCGGUUCGGGAUAACCCAGGGAAACUUGGGCUAAUACCGGAUACGCCCUUCGGGGGAAAGAUUCAUUGCCGAAAGAUCGGCCCGCGUCGGAUUAGCUAGUUGGUGGGGUAAUGGCCUACCAAGGCGACGAUCCGUAGCUGGUCUGAGAGGAUGACCAGCCACACUGGGACUGAGACACGGCCCAGACUCCUACGGGAGGCAGCAGUGGGGAAUAUUGGACAAUGGGCGAAAGCCUGAUCCAGCCAUGCCGCGUGGGUGAAGAAGGCCUUAGGGUUGUAAACCCCUUUCAGCGGGGACGAUAAUGACGGUACCCGCAGAAGAAGUCCCGGCUAACUCCGUGCCAGCAGCCGCGGUAAUACGGAGGGGACUAGCGUUGUUCGGAAUUACUGGGCGUAAAGCGCACGUAGGCGGAUUUGUUAGUCAGGGGUGAAAUCCCGAGGCUCAACCUCGGAACUGCCUUUGAUACUGCAAAUCUCGAGUCCGGAAGAGGUGAGUGGAAUUCCUAGUGUAGAGGUGAAAUGCGUAGAUAUCAGGAGGAACACCGGUGGCGAAGGCGGCUCUCUGGAC